rnacentral:rRNA from 1 species
AUGGCAAUGUUGUGCCAAAAGUGGACGGCGAUUUAUGAAGGGGUGGGGCGCCAACCUUGGUCGUGAUCUCCAUGAGCGCAAGAAGGCACUGUUGUCCGCCAUCUAGGCCCUUGACAUCCGGGCUGACGCAGCCAGCCUCUCCCUGAUGAGUGUCUCUCCCUCUACGACCUAGAGGAUCAGCUCUCCGUCAUCUACACCGAUGAGGAGGCUUAUUGGCUUUUAUGUGGCUCCCAGAAAUGGAUCUUGAAAGGCGAUGCAAACACGACCUACUUUCAAGCCAUUGCUAAUGGUUGCCGUAGACGCAACACCAUUCCUUUGAUCUGGGAUGGUGCGGCUCUCUUACAGUCCCCUCGUGACAUCCGGCCUCACGUCGACGGGUUCUAUAAGAACCCAUUCUCUACCUCCCCUAGGAGCGGCCUGCCUUUGGCUCCUAAUUGCUGGACCGACUCCCAGCUGGUCUCAGCGGCCGAGAACACGGCCCUUACGACCCCUUUCUCUGAGGGUGAGGUUUCGGCGGCCAUUAGAGGCAUGAACCCCUCCUCGGCCCCGGGCCCCGAUGGUUUACCCGUGAAGUUCUUCCAGACCUUCUGGAAUAUGAUUAAGCCUGAGAUCAUGGCCAUCUUUGAUGAGUUCGUAGGGUCCAUUGACCUCGGCCACCUCAACUAUGGGAUCAUUUCGCUCAUCCCUAAAGUGCCUAGGGUGUCCGACAUCCGCCAGUUUCGUCCGAUCAUGGUGAUCAACGUGAUCUUCCAAAUCUUGGCGAAAGGGUACGCCAAUAGGGUGACCCUGCUUGCGGAUCGUAUUACCCACCCCAACCAGUCGGCCUUCAUUCAAGGGCGGUUUAUCCUGGAUGGGGUGCUUGUCCUUCACGAAGUCCUCCAUGAGGUCCGCUCUAAGCACCUCAAGGCGGUUUUCCUAAAGAUCGGUUUCCAUAAGGCGUACGAUACCGUCAGCUGGGCCUUCCUCCGAGAAGUUUUGCUCUGGAAGGGCUUCGACGACCGCUGGAUCACCCGGUGA